rnacentral:lncRNA from 1 species
UGCAGAGCUUUUACAGUUCCUUCCCUCAGGGGCAUGGUUGGGGCCCCCGGCAGCCUCCUGGCUCCAGGGCUUUGACAAGUCAGACUUAGAGUUUCCUGGGCAGUAAAAUUCCCUAAGAAACCCACGUAGGCUUUAAGAAUAUUUGCUUCCGGUCCAGUUCAUGCACAAAUAACUAAAGACAAAAUCUGGUUUGGCAUGCUUUUAGCCUAAAAACUUUAUUUACUGAUGUCCACGCUCUGCUUAGCCCCAGUGUCUCAAUUUAAAUGCAAUUGUCCUGAGUCUAUCCGAAGAAACAGGCUUGAGUGAGAGGCAACAUCCUUGAUUUGAUCUUUGCUGCUGUCUGUUACUUGACAGAGAGCUCUGGAUAGCGGUGCUUGAGGAAGGCUUGAGGACAAAGUCUGAGCUUUUGCUAAUUCUUUGGAGCUUCCUUGAGGACUCAAAUGGUGUCAUGAGUUCUCUCUCUCUGUCUCUGCAUCUCUUGGCUGUGCUGCCCUCUGGGUCUCAGGCAGGCUUCAUCAGUAUACCUAGGCCUAUAGAAGUCAUUACCACAUCUGAUUUUCCAGGAAGACACGCAUAAUCUCCUCUAGCAUCCAUAUAUAAAGGAUUAGAAAAGUUCCCAAUUGGCCCAGUUGACAUCCGAUACCCACCUGAAUCAGUCAUUAGGCCCAGGGGAUGGAGUUCUUUGGCUAGCCUGGGACAUCUGCCCAUCACAGCAUGGAGCGUCACGAUAGGGGAUCUGACUGGGACCACAUAAAGUACAUGAGAGGUGGCCCUCUUUUUCCUCCCACAAGAAAUGGAGGGAGGUGCUGUCAGACAAAAGGGGAAGGUAGGCUUGGCAAGCAAAAAUGAAAGGCAUCCGAGACAUCUGGCCACCAGCAGGGGCCACAGUGCUCGCGGGGUCUGGAAGGCUUAGUAAAGAUGGGUGGAACUACGCAGUAGUAGUUAAUAAGGUUUGCUAAAACCUGGGCCAUCUCUCUGCAAGUGUCCUUAUGUUAGUUCAGAGGCCCAGAGCAGGCCAGGGUAGAGGCCACAUGGAGACAAAGCAGCAUUUCUUCUGCAGAACUCGGCUAAGUGUAGUCUGAGCCUGGUGCACCCCUGCCUCUGGUCCUGCCCCUGCUAGAUAAAGCUCAGAACGAAACGUCUUUCUCCUCCCACUCCUCUUUCUCUUUGCCUUCUCUCCAAAAGAACCUCCCACCGGCAUCCUUAGCCUGAUCUGGCCCCUCCACUGGCCUCUGAGUGUGGAGUGAGACAGAGCUGAAAUGGAGAAGCCGGGCUUGGCUGGAAGCGAGGAGGGUGGAAGUGAAGUCCGUCACCGCUGGUGGGAGUGUCGGCCACAACAGUAUGUCCCCUCCUGCAUAGCUUCCUGAACUGUGACCUUGCCACUCUUCCAUCACGAGGUGGUGUCUGUUUCACCACCUCCUGAAGCUGGGCAGGCCCUGGAAGUGAUGCUGUGCUACUCCCAGGCAGAGCCUUUCAUGGGCCCGGUGGCUUUGCUUUCUGCCUCUUGGAAGCCGGCUACAAUGAAGGAAGUUUGUCUAUAUCCUGAGACCACUAUGCUGUGAGCAGCCCGUGAACCCACCGGAGAGGUCUUGCAGGAGGAAAUGGCCCAUGGAGAGAGAGAGAAGCCAAGGAUCACAAGGCACCAGACCCAGAACUUUUAAUAUUACAGAAUUUUAACAAUUUCUCUGAUUCUAUACUGUAUCUCUCCUAUGCUUAAAGUCUAGAAUCCCAAUGGCAUUCAUUAACAUAAUCACUGAUCUUACAAUAUAUAUACAAUAAAUUUAUAUACGAUAAAUAAGAUCACUGAUCUUACUAUAUAUCUUACGAUAUAUAAAUACUGUAAUUCUUACAACAGAUAAAUAUAUUUUACAUUAUUCAAAUAUUAUUAUUUGAAAUAUCAAAUAUUACUAUCUGAAAUAUUAUUAUUAUAAAAGACCACUGCUUUAUGACUAUACAGUCAAAAUACUGAGUCUUAACGUGUUUUGAAAUGAUUCUUUUCCCUGCAUGAUUAUAUCAUCAACUUAAUGUCUAGUUAGGUUCAUUUGUUUCCAUGGUUUUCAGGUUUUAGAGACUGUUUCUUUUUAAAAAUGUAAAACAUGUACGUUGUUCCAAAGUCAAAAUAUGUCCCCAGGUAAUUUGAUUUGAGUUUAAUUUUGUUUUUCAGCCAUGUAAAACAUAUUGAAUAGCUGACAUUGUCCAAAAAAGUUGACAUUCCAUCUCUCCAUCCUGUUCCCUCCAAUCCUCUAUAAUAAUCAUUUCCUUUAGUUUUGGGAUUUAUCCUUCCAUUGUUUCUUUUCAAAAAUAUAAGCCAAUAUGCAUUUACAUGUUUAUAUGUCUAUUAUAUUACCCCCUUUCUUAUGAAAAGGCUUGCACACUAUAAACACUAGUGUGUAUGCCUAAGAGCUAGGGUUUCUAUCUAUCUGUAUUAAUUGAAGUAUCCGAACGGCUACUAUAUGCAAAGCUGGGUGGUAGGCACUAAGAGUCAAGUCUUCAAUGGAGAAGAAACACUUAUACACCAGGUCAUUUCUAUGACUCAAUGUCAGAUUUUCAAGGUUUCAAAUCCUAUGGCUGAUUUCUCCCAUGUGAUUGGGGUCUACCCUAAAUCUGACCUGUGAUGAAGCUCUUGUUUCUGGGGAUAAAUGUGCCGAGAAGUCUUUCAUGUAUCCACAAAUGAGGAUGUUCUUGAUUAAAGAAAUGGCUGAGGUGAGGCAAUUUGCUUGAGACCACAGAAAGUUCCUUUAGAGAAUGUUCCUUGACUUGCCUGGGAUGUGUUCCUAAAGAUGCUUCAGGUAAAGAUUAAGCAAGUGUAGAAAUGGAGUGGAGUGACCUAGACCUAGACCCUGCCCUUGCACUUUGUAUUAGCUACUGAAUUCCAUUAAAUGAGUUGUUAAAUUUUUUAGUCAUUUUUAGGCAUGUGACCUCUGUAUUUCCUAUGAAAA